CGCGUCCGUCCCACCUUUGAAGAGCUCCACCUGCUUGAACUCGAAGGGGAUGUUGUUGCUGCGGGCGAAAAUGUAGAUGGAGCGGCAGGGCUGCGAGAGCAAGUCCAGAUUUCCACGCAAGCGGAGGAGAACUAAAGAAGCUCAGACUGAAUUCAAGCCCUUGCAUGGAGCCCGCAGCGUUUCGCAGCUGUGUGAUUCAGGGAAGGUGACAUGCUGGUUGAGCACAGGGACUUCUGGAAGAUAGAGCGGCUGAACCACUCGGAGCAAAGUCACCCCCAGUCAAACCCACCUCGGCUCAGCUGACACCUUUUUAUCAGUGCUGUGCCAGAGAGCUUGCAGAUCACGCACGAAUCCUUGGAAAGAGCCACAGGAACCUCAGGGAGAGGGAACUGUGUAAAGGAUCAUUACAAAGGGUGGUGAAAAGGCUUGGAUACUGAGCCAGGAGCUCGUCAACUAGAUAAAUUAGAAACUAGGAACACUUUCAGGUGCUUCCCUUUAUACCACUUUGCCAAGACUUCAGCUCUGAGAACUCCUUAGGAAUGGGGCUUACUGUUAGACCAUUCAGUCUGCCAGUCUGGUGAACGAGCUGCGUCUCAAAAUGAAGUAUCGAGUCUGCUGUA